rnacentral:rRNA from 1 species
AUUGAACGCUGGCGGCAUGCCUUACACAUGCAAGUCGAACGGUAACAGGUCUUCGGACGCUGACGAGUGGCGAACGGGUGAGUAAUACAUCGGAACGUGCCCAGUCGUGGGGGAUAACUACUCGAAAGAGUAGCUAAUACCGCAUACGAUCUGAGGAUGAAAGCGGGGGACCUUCGGGCCUCGCGCGAUUGGAGCGGCCGAUGGCAGAUUAGGUAGUUGGUGGGAUAAAAGCUUACCAAGCCGACGAUCUGUAGCUGGUCUGAGAGGACGACCAGCCACACUGGGACUGAGACACGGCCCAGACUCCUACGGGAGGCAGCAGUGGGGAAUUUUGGACAAUGGGCGAAAGCCUGAUCCAGCAAUGCCGCGUGCAGGAUGAAGGCCUUCUGGGUUGUAAACUGCUUUUAUCUAGGAAGAAAACGCCCAUGCGUGGGAAACUGACGGUACUAGAUGAAUAAGCACCGGCUAACUCCGUGC